rnacentral:rRNA from 1 species
AACGAACGCUGGCGGCAUGCCUAACACAUGCAAGUCGAACGAGACCUUCGGGUCUAGUGGCGCACGGGUGCGUAACGCGUGGGAACCUGCCGUUAGGUUCGGAAUAACUCCCCGAAAGGGGUGCUAAUACCGGAUAAUUUCUUCGGACCAAAGAUUUAUCGACUUUGGAUGGGCCCGCGUUGGUUUAGCUAGUUGGUAGGGUAAAAGCCUACCAAGGCGACGAUCCAUAGCUGGUCUGAGAGGAUGAUCAGCCACACUGGGACUGAGACACGGCCCAGACUCCUACGGGAGGCAGCAGUGGGGAAUAUUGGACAAUGGGCGAAAGCCUGAUCCAGCAAUGCCGCGUGAGUGAUGAAGGCCUUAGGGUUGUAAAGCUCUUUUACCCGGGAUGAUAAUGACAGUACCGGGAGAAUAAGCUCCGGCUAACUCCGUG